rnacentral:rRNA from 1 species
UACGUAGGGUGCGAGCGUUAAUCGGAAUUACUGGGCGUAAAGCGUGCGCAGGCGGCGCGUUAAGACAGGUGUGAAAGCCCCGAGCUUAACUUGGGAAUUGCGCUUGUGACUGGCGAGCUGGAGUGUGGCAGAGGGAGGUGGAAUUCCACGUGUAGCAGUGAAAUGCGUAGAGAUGUGGAGGAACACCGAUGGCGAAGGCAGCCUCCUGGGCCAGCACUGACGCUCAUGCACGAAAGCGUGGGGAGGAAACAGG